GAUGAACGCUAGCGGCAGGCCUAAUACAUGCAAGUCAAGGGGCCAGUAAUGGCACCGGCGGACGGGUGCGUAACGCGUACACAACGUACCUUUGGGUGGGGGAUAGCAUCGGGAAACUGGUGGUAAUACCCCAUGGUAUUGGAAACUGGCAUCAGUUUUCAAUUAAAGACUACGCCCAAAGAUCGGUGUGCGUCUGAUUAGCUAGUUGGUAGGGUAACGGCCUACCAAGGCGACGAUCAGUAGGGGGAUGUGAGAGCAUGAUCCCCCACACGGGUACUGAGACACGGACCAGACUCCUACGGGAGGCAGCAGUGAGGAAUAUUGGUCAAUGGGCGCAAGCCUGAACCAGCCAUGCCGCGUGCAGGAAGAAUGCCCUAUGGGUUGUAAACUGCUUUUAUUUGGGAAUAAACCUCUUUACGAGUAGAGAGCUGAAGGUACCAAAUGAAUAAGCACCGGCUAACUCCGUG
rnacentral:rRNA from 1 species